rnacentral:rRNA from 1 species
UACAGAGGGUGCAAACGUUGUUCGGAAUUACUGGGCGUAAAGCGCGUGUAGGCGGUCAUCCAAGUCGGAUGUGAAAGCCCCGAGCUCAACUUGGGAAGUGCAUUCGAUACUGGGUGACUUGAGUCCCGGAGAGGGUGGUGGAACUCUCGGUGUAGAGGUGAAAUUCGUAGAUAUCGAGAAGAACACCGAUGGCGAAGGCGGCCACCUGGACGGGUACUGACGCUGAGACGCGAAAGCGUGGGGAGCAAACAGG